rnacentral:rRNA from 1 species
UGCGUACCUUUUGUAUAAUGGGUCAGCGACUUAUAUUCUGUAGCAAGGUUAACCGUAUAGGGGAGCCGGAGGGAAACCGAGUCUUAAUUGGGCGUUAAGUUGCAGGGUAUAGACCCGAAACCCGGUGAUCUAGCCAUGGGCAGGUUGAAGGUUGGGUAACACUAACUGGAGGACCGAACCGACUAAUGUUGAAAAAUUAGCGGAUGACCUGUGGCUGGGGGUGAAAGGCCAAUCAAACCGGGAGAUAGCUGGUUCUCCCCGAAAGCUAUUUAGGUAGCGCCUCGUGAAUUCAUCUCCGGGGGUAGAGCACUGUUUCGGCUAGGGGGCCAUCCCGGCUUACCAACCCGAUGCAAACUGCGAAUACCGGAGAAUGUUAUCACGGGAGACACACGGCGGGUGCUAACGUCCGUCGUGAAGAGGGAAACAACCCAGACCGCCAGCUAAGGUCCCAAAGUCAUGGUUAAGUGGGAAACGAUGUGGGAAGGCCCAGACAGCCAGGAUGUUGGCUUAGAAGCAGCCAUCAUUUAAAGAAAGCGUAAUAGCUCACUGGUCGAGUCGGCCUGCGCGGAAGAUGUAACGGGGCUAAACCAUGCACCGAAGCUGCGGCAGCGAACGUAUCACUUAAAGCGAUUCAGCGGGUUACGAUUGACGGAGCGAAGCGACGUCAAAGCGUAUACAAAGUCGAGUCGGUUUAAGGAUACGUUCGUUGGGUAGGGGAGCGUUCUGUAAGCCUGCGAAGGUGGCCUGUGAGGGUUGCUGGAGGUAUCAGAAGUGCGAAUGCUGACAUAAGUAACGAUAAAGCGGGUGAAAAGCCCGCUCGCCGGAAGACCAAGGGUUCCUGUCCAACGUUAAUCGGGGCAGGGUGAGUCGACCCCUAAGGCGAGGCCGAAAGGCGUAGUCGAUGGGAAACGGGUUAAUAUUCCCGUACUUGGUGUUACUGCGAAGGGGGGACGGAGAAGGCUAUGUUGGCCGGGCGACGGUUGUCCCGGUUUAAGCGUGUAGGCUGGUUUUCCAGGCAAAUCCGGAAAAUCAAGGCUGAGGCGUGACGACGAGGCACUACGGUGCUGAAGCAACAAAUGCCCUGCUUCCAGGAAAAGCCUCUAAGCAUCAGGUAACACGAAAUCGUACCCCAAACCGACACAGGUGGUCAGGUAGAGAAUACCAAGGCGCUUGAGAGAACUCGGGUGAAGGAACUAGGCAAAAUGGUGCCGUAACUUCGGGAGAAGGCACGCUGACACGUAGGUGAAGUGAUUUACUCAUGGAGCUGAAGUCAGUCGAAGAUACCAGCUGGCUGCAACUGUUUAUUAAAAACACAGCACUGUGCAAACACGAAAGUGGACGUAUACGGUGUGACGCCUGCCCGGUGCCGGAAGGUUAAUUGAUGGGGUCAGCGCAAGCGAAGCUCCUGAUCGAAGCCCCGGUAAACGGCGGCCGUAACUAUAACGGUCCUAAGGUAGCGAAAUUCCUUGUCGGGUAAGUUCCGACCUGCACGAAUGGCGUAAUGAUGGCCAGGCUGUCUCCACCCGAGACUCAGUGAAAUUGAACUCGCUGUGAAGAUGCAGUGUACCCGCGGCAAGACGGAAAGACCCCGUGAACCUUUACUAUAGCUUGACACUGAACAUUGAGCCUUGAUGUGUAG